GAUGAACGCUAGCUACAGGCUUAACACAUGCAAGUCGAGGGGAAACGGCAUUGAGUGCUUGCACUCUUUGGACGUCGACCGGCGCACGGGUGAGUAACGCGUAUCCAACCUUCCCAUUACUGUGGGAUAACCUGCCGAAAGGCAGACUAAUACCGCAUAGUCUUCGAUGACGGCAUCAGAUUUGAAGUAAAGAUUUAUCGGUAAUGGAUGGGGAUGCGUCUGAUUAGCUUGUUGGCGGGGUAACGGCCCACCAAGGCGACGAUCAGUAGGGGUUCUGAGAGGAAGGUCCCCCACAUUGGAACUGAGACACGGUCCAAACUCCUACGGGAGGCAGCAGUGAGGAAUAUUGGUCAAUGGACGUAAGUCUGAACCAGCCAAGUAGCGUGCAGGAUGACGGCCCUAUGGGUUGUAAACUGCUUUUGUAUGGGGAUAAAGUUAGGGACGUGUCCCUAUUUGCAGGUACCAUACGAAUAAGGACCGGCUAAUUCCGUGCCAGCAGCCGCGGUAAUACGGAAGGUCCAGGCGUUAUCCGGAUUUAUUGGGUUUAAAGGGAGCGUAGGCUGGAGAUUAAGUGUGUUGUGAAAUGUAGACGCUCAACGUCUGACUUGCAGCGCAUACUGGUUUCCUUGAGUACGCACAACGUUGGCGGAAUUCGUCGUGUAGCGGUGAAAUGCUUAGAUAUGACGAAGAACUCCGAUUGCGAAGGCAGCUGACGGGAGCGCAACUGACGCUUAAGCUCGAAGGUGCGGGUAUCAAACAGG
rnacentral:rRNA from 1 species